rnacentral:rRNA from 1 species
AGCCGCCGCGGUAACACCGGCGGCCCGAGUGGUGAUCGUGAUUAUUGGGUCUAAAGGGUCCGUAGCCGGUUUGGUCAGUCCUCCGGGAAAUCUGAUAGCUCAACUAUUAGGCUUUCGGGGGAUACUGCCAGACUUGGAACCGGGAGAGGUAAGAGGUACUACAGGGGUAGGAGUGAAAUCUUGUAAUCCCUGUGGGACCACCUGUGGCGAAGGCGUCUUACCAGAACGGGUUCGACGGUGAGGGACGAAAGCUGGGGGCACGAACCGGAUUAGAUACCCGGGUAGUCCCAGCCGUAAACGAUGCUCGCUAGGUGUCAGGCAUGGCGCGACCGUGUCUGGUGCCGCAGGGAAGCCGUGAAGCGAGCCACCUGGGAAGUACGGCCGCAAGGCUGAAACUUAAAGGAAUUGGCGGGGAGCACAACAACGGGUGGAAGCCUGCGGUUUAAUUGGACUCAACGCCGGACAACUCACCGGGGGCGACAGCAAUAUGUAGGCCAAGCUGAAGACUUUGCCUGAAUCGCUGAGAGGAGGUGCAUGG